UAGCUCGAUCCGGGGUUUUACAAUAUGGGAGAGCGAAUACAAGAAUUAUGACACAAGUUAUCUUAGAUUAGGUUUUAUUUAAAUUAAUGUUCUAUCUUUAUUGUUCCGCUGCGCAUUGAGAACUGUGAAACUUUAUAAUUUGUGUCAGUCAAUGGAAUAAGAUUGCAUUUAUUUCAGCUGAAUUAAUUUAGAAUUACAUAAUUGAGGUGUUUUGGUUAAGAUGCCUUGCAUGCUCGUGGGGAGAGUUUUCUACGGGUGUGCGGCAGUUGGCGCGACCCCCGGCUCGCGAUCUCGGGCCGGGGGCGUGACAACUUUUAUGGUAUCAGAACAUAAUUGGAUAAAUUAUGAGAUAAGAAAAUCUGACAUGACAUGAGUGUAGGUGGGUAGACACUAGGGACAUUGGGACGUUAGUUUAUGAUGAUUGUAGCAACUAUUCUAUGUACUUGUAAUGAAUUGGUAAGCUUAUUAUUGGCAUGCCGCUAUCUGAUAGACAUAUGUCAGGAUGCCUCCACGUCGGAUGAGAAAGACUACUCGCAGAGCUACUAAUAAGGCACCCAACCCGCAAAAUGACAGCACACCCCAACAAGUUGGUAACACCCCUCAACAGGAGAGAGUCGUCAAUCCUGCUAGUGAUACUCAGAUAGGACAACAAGAACCGGGCCUAGGCCAGGUUAUGCAGACCAUAGUGGGCCUUAUGCAGAUGCAACAGCAGGUGCAACAGCAGUUGCUCCAACAACAAGCGCAGUUGCCCCAGACACAACCACAGCAAGGACGAGGGGAACAGUAUGAACAGCAUAGCAGUAUAGCUGAAUUUAAGAGGCUAGCUCCUCCAGCUUUCAAGGGAACUACAGAACCGUUAGAAGCAGACAACUGGCUUACAGAGAUGAAGAAAGCAUUUGCUGUCUUGAGAUGCCAGGAUGAUGAAAGAUUUUGUUUGCAUCAUACAUGAUGCAAGGUGAGGCAUUCAACUGGUGGCGGAUGUUGGAACAUAAAUAUGAACAGGAUAGGAAGCCACUCACUUGGGAAAAAUUUCGAGGAGCCUUUUAUGAUAAGUAUUUUUCUCGGAGUGUAAGGACGUAGAAAGAGCAGGAGUUUAUUCAUCUAAAGCAAAGAAAUAUGACUGUUGCAGAAUAUGAAGCUAAAUUUACCGAGCUAGCUAAAUUUGUUCCAAAGUUAGUCGAGGAUGAGCUAGAUCGAGCGCAUAAAUUUGAGAUGGGACUAAAGACUGAAAUUAGAAAACAAGUGGUACCUUAUGAAUUGACUACCUAUGCAGCUGUGGUAAAUAAGGCUUUAAUAAUUGAAAGGGAAGUUAAUGACGAACGGUUGGAAAGGGAAAGAAAUCAAAAGAAGAGAAACAGAUCGAAUGCAUUUCAGGGGCAGAGCAAUGAAAAUGCCGAAAGUUCAAACAAGAAAUCAACGAGUGACAACCCUAAGCAGAUGAAUAUCAAUAAAUGUUCUAGAUGUGGUAAGGCUCAUGCUGACAAGGAUUGCCAUUGGAACACCGGUGCCUGCUUUAGAUGCGGUAAGAUAGGUCAUAAAAUUGCAGACUGCCCAUAAAGAAACGAGAAUAGAUCUACUCAAGCAAUGGAAGGAAGCUAGGGGCCAAAGACUCAAGGAAGAGUAUUUGCACUUACACAGCAAGAUGCACAGGCUUCUGAUGUGUUGACGAUAGGUAUUAAUCUAGUCCCAAUAUUUAUUUCUAUGUAUUGUUUUGCCAUGCUCACUGCUCUUUGUUAGACAACUCAUUAUGCUGCUAGAAAAGAUUAAAUAGUUACAUAACAUUUUUUUUUGAUUAAUUAUCAAAAGAAGAAUAUGAACUUUUAAAUUUCGAAAGUGUUCACCUAGAUUAAGACAUAGUAAUGAAUGUACCAACAAGCAAGUAAUUCUAGAAAAAAAAAAUCUAGACUUGACACGGGUAUGUUGAGGUUUAAAUCAGAAUGUGCAGAAAAAAUGUGGUGAAUAGAAUUAUUUGAAAUUGGUCAGACAAGACGACUUUGAUUUAAAGAGUGUUAUGACUUAGUUUGGAAGAAGUAUAAUCUACUCUUGAACUGCAUGUAUGAAAAUUUCGUGGACGAAAUUUCUUUUAAGGGAGGAAGGAUGUGAGACCCUGAAACUGGGCCCGGUCCAUUGACCGGCCCAGCCCAAGGAUUUCGACCUCACGUGCGGCGCACGUGAGGGCGGGUGAGAGGGGGGGAGCCAUCCCGAAGAAGUCGGCUCCCCUGUUCUUUUUUAGGGCUUCUCCUCUCAUUGAAGAGAUUGGAAGAGGAGCCGCUGCCGGCCGAGAGAGAGAGAGAGAGAGAGAGAGAACCAUUAAAAAGGUGGGUCUUCUUCGGCACGGGUCUUCCUCUUCCUCCAUUACCGCCGAAGAGAAAGAGGAUCGCCGGUCUUCGUCGGAGGCUAAGGUAAGGGCUUCUAACUUUCAUCUCCUUCCUUCCGUGAUAUUUAGCCAUGAUUUACUGUGGUUUUGAGCCGGCCAAGCGCCGGACUUGGGUCCAAAACGGGGUUUCGGCCCGUAAGCUCGUCGCCGUUGCGCGUUCAUCGCCGCCAGCCGCCGGGGGGUGGCCGGGCUUGCUCCGCCACCACCUGCCGCUGCCAAGGCCGGCUGCCGCGGCCGCCCUUGGGUUCGAUCGAGAGCAAAGAGGAGGGGGCGGCAGGGGGUGAUGAAUCCCUGUUUCGCCGAAAGAGAGGAAGGGAGUCGAGAGAGAAAAGAAGAAAGAAGAAAGAGAAAAGAAGAAAGAAGAAAAAGAAAAGAAAAGAAAAGAAAAGAAAAAGAAAAGAAAAGAAAAGAAAGAGAGAAAGAAAAAAAAUAAUGAUAAUAAAAUAAAAGGAGGGUGGUCUAUGGGUAUGAACCCGAAUCCGAACUCGAACCCGGGGUGCUAGACACUUCGGCAGGGUCGGCCCUGUGAGCAUGUUAAAAUUUAAGUUUUUAUAUAUAUUGUGAUUAAUUUUAAAAGAAAAUAUGAUUUUUGGAUAUUAGGUCCUGCGAGGAAUUUAUGAGAUUAAUUGGAUUUGUUGGGGAUCGCGUUCAAAGUAAGUAAUAAACUGCCUUCUCUAGACUCUUCAUUUAUAUAAUAUUAUUUUUGCAUUGAAUAAAUUGUUAAUGAAUUUAUAUGGGAUUUAUGAAUUUUACGAGAUGAUGCUUUGAAUGAAAAAUGGAUAUGUAAUUAGAAUAAUAUUUUUCGGACUAUUGUUACAUUACUGUUUUUGCAUCGUAUAUGCAUAUUUAGAUCGGAUUAUGAUAUAUCUAUUAUGUUACAAAAGAAUUUUGAUGUGCAUCAGAUUUAGAACUCUCAGCCUGGCUAUGUUCUGGACCCUGCCAAUAGGGGGUUAUGCAUUGGCAAUUCUGGCCCCACCACAGGGUAUAAGUGUGGUAUUCUGGCCCACUCCGCAGGGUAUAAGUGCGGUAUUCUGGCCCACUCCGCAGGGUAUAAGUGUGGUUCCGUUUCUGGCCUAGCCACAGGGUAUAAGUGUGGUCGUAGCUAAAGGCUGAUGAGAUGAAUAUGAUUUGUUUCGAAUCAGAUUUAUGAUUAUGUAUAUAGAUAUUUGAAAAAAAUACGAAUUUUAAUGAAUUUGUGCUUCAAAAGGAAUUGAUUAUGUUAUUAUGUUGAUUCAUCGUAAUUUGUAUUUAUAUUUUAUGUUAUUAUAUGAAUUGACUAGUUAAGGUGUUUAUUACUUACUGGGCUGUCUAGCUCAUUAUACGAUUUCUUACUGUUUUUACGGAUCCGAAGAAUUAGCUCGAUUCGGGGUUUUACAAUAUGGGAGAGCGAAUAUAAGAAUUAUGACACAAGUUAUCUUAGAUUAGGUUUUAUUUAAAUUAAUGUUCUAUCUUUAUUGUUCCGCUGCGCAUUGAGAACUGUGAAACUUUAUAAUUUGUGUCAGUCAAUGGAAUAAGAUUGCAUUUAUUUUAGCUGAAUUAAUUUAGAAUUACAUAAUUGAGGUGUUUUGGUUUAGAUGCCUUGCAUGCUCGUGGGGAGAGUUCCCUAUGGGUGUGCGGCGGUUGGCGCG
rnacentral:lncRNA from 1 species